rnacentral:misc_RNA from 1 species
GAUGGAAGAACGUAGCGAAAUGCGAUAAGUAGUGUGAAUGGCAGAAUUCAGUGAAUCAUCGAAUCUUUGAACGCACAUUGCGCCCCUAGGUAUUCCUUGGGGCAUGCCUGUUCGAGCGUCAUUUAACCCCUCAAGCCCAGCUUGGUCAUGGGUGCUUGUCCCGCCUCUGCGCGGCGACUCACCUCAAAGUCAUUGGCAGCCCGCAUCCGCCGGCCACGAGCGCAGCACAGUCGCGCCCGAGGGUCCAGCAGUUCGGCUCUCCAGAAGCUCACCCCACAUAUUGACCUCGGAUCAGGUAGGGAUACCCGCUGAACUUAAGCAUAUCAAUAAGCGGAGGA